rnacentral:rRNA from 1 species
CCUACGGGAGGCAGCAAUGAGGAAUAUUGGUCAAUGGACGAGAGUCUGAACCAGCCAAGUAGCGUGAAGGAUGACUGCCCUAUGGGUUGUAAACUUCUUUUAUAUGGGAAUAAAAUGUUCCAUGUGUGGGAUUUUGUAUGUACCAUAUGAAUAAGGAUCGGCUAACUCCGUGCCAGCAGCCGCGGUAAUACGGAGGAUCCGAGCGUUAUCCGGAUUUAUUGGGUUUAAAGGGAGCGUAGGUGGAUUGUUAAGUCAGUUGUGAAAGUUUGCGGCUCAACCGUAACAUUGAAGUUGAAACUGGCAGUCGUGAGUACAGUAGAGGUGGGCGGAAUUCGUGGUGUAGCGGUGAAAUGCUUAGAUAUCACGAAGAACUCCGAUUGCGAAGGCAGCUCACUGGACUGCAACUGACACUGAGGCUCGAAAGUGUGGGUAUCAAACAGGAUUAGAUACCCUGGUAGUC